rnacentral:rRNA from 1 species
UACGUAGGGCGCAAGCGUUGUCCGGAAUUAUUGGGCGUAAAGAGCUCGUAGGCGGUCUGUCGCGUCGGCUGUGAAAACCCGGGGCUCCAGCCCCGGGCCUGCAGUCGAUACGGGCAGACUAGAGUGUGGUAGGGGAGACUGGAAUUCCUGGUGUAGCGGUGGAAUGCGCAGAUAUCAGGAGGAACACCGGUGGCGAAGGCGGUGGGCUGGGCCGGCACUGACGCUGAGGAGCGAAAGCGUGGGGAGCGAACAGG